AACGCCAGCUACAGGGUUCACACAUGCAAGUUCGAGGGGCAGCACGAAACUUCAGCUCGCUAAGUUUCGAACGGCGACCGGCGCACGGGCGAGUAACACGUAUCCAACCUGCCGAAGAACUCGGGGAAAGCCUUUCGAAAAGAAAGAUUAAUACCCGACGGCAUAGUUCUUCCGCAUGGUGGAAACUAUUAAAGAAUCUCGGUCAUCGAUGGGGAUGCGUUUCCAUUAGGUUGUUGGCGGGGUAACGGCCCACCAAGCCUUCGAUGGAUAGGGGUUCUGAGAGGAAGGUCCCCCACAUUGGAACUGAGACACGGUCCAAACUCCUACGGGAGGCAGCAGUGAGGAAUAUUGGUCAAUGGACGAGAGUCUGAACCAGCCAAGUAGCGUGAAGGAUGACUGCCCUAUGGGUUGUAAACUUCUUUUAUACGGGAAUAAAGUGAGGCACGUGUGCCUUUUUGUAUGUACCGUAUGAAUAAGGAUCGGCUAACUCCGUGCCAGCAGCCGCGGUAAUACGGAGGAUUCCGAGCGUUAUCCGGAUUUAUUGGGUUUAAAGGGAGCGUAGGCGGACGCUUAAGUCAGUUGUGAAAGUUUGCGGCUCAACCGUAAAAUUGCAGUUGAUACUGGGUGUCUUGAGUACAGUAGAGGCAGGCGGAAUUCGUGGUGUAGCGGUGAAAUGCUUAGAUAUCACGAAGAACUCCGAUUGCGAAGGCAGCUUGCUGGACUGUAACUGACGCUGAUGCUCGAAAGUGUGGGUAUCAAACAGGAUUAGAUACCCUGGUAGUCCACACAGUAAACGAUGAAUACUCGCUGUUUGCGAUAUACAGUAAGCGGCCGAGCGAAAGCGUUAAGUAUUCCACCUGGGGAGUACGCCGGCAACGGUGAAACUCAAAGGAAUUGACGGGGGCCCGCACAAGCGGAGGAACAUGUGGUUUAAUUCGAUGAUACGCGAGGAACCUUACCCGGGCUUGAAUUGCAACUGAAUGAUGUGGAGACAUGUCAGCCGCAAGGCAGUUGUGAAGGUGCUGCAUGGUUGUCGUCAGCUCGUGCCGUGAGGUGUCGGCUUAAGUGCCAUAACGAGCGCAACCCUUAUCGAUAGUUACCAUCAGGUUAUGCUGGGGACUCUGUCGAGACUGCCGUCGUAAGAUGUGAGGAAGGUGGGGAUGACGUCAAAUCAGCACGGCCCUUACGUCCGGGGCUACACACGUGUUACAAUGGGGGGUACAGAAGGCAGCUACACGGCGACGUGAUGCUAAUCCCGAAAGCCUCUCUCAGUUCGGAUUGGAGUCUGCAACCCGACUCCAUGAAGCUGGAUUCGCUAGUAAUCGCGCAUCAGCCACGGCGCGGUGAAUACGUUCCCGGGCCU
rnacentral:rRNA from 1 species